AGGCGUUGAUCCGAAGGGGGCGUGAGAGCGUGACCCCCCACAUUGGCACUGAGACACGGGCCAAACUCCUACGGGAGGCAGCAGUGAGGAAUAUUGCACAAUGGGCGCAAGCCUGAUGCAGCAACGCCGCGUGAGGGAUGAAGGCCCUCGGGUCGUAAACCUCUUUUCUGAGGGACGAGCAAGGACGGUACCUCAGGAAUAAGUCUCGGCUAACUACGUGCCAGCAGCCGCGGUAAAACGUAGGAGGCGAGCGUUAUCCGGAUUUACUGGGCGUAAAGCGCACGCAGGCGGCUUCGUGAGUCGGAUGUGAAAGCUCCUGGCUUAACUGGGAGAGGCCAUUCGAUACUGCGGGGCUUGAGGUUGGGAGAGGGGUGCGGAAUUCCCGGUGUAGUGGUGGAAUGCGUAGAUAUCGGGAGGAACACCAGUGGCGAAGGCGGCACCCUGGCCCACACCUGACGCUGAGGUGCGAAAGCGUGGGUAGCAAACAGGAUUAGAUACCCUGGUAGUCCACGCCGU
rnacentral:rRNA from 1 species